rnacentral:rRNA from 1 species
UACGUAGGGGGCGAGCGUUGUCCGGAAUUAUUGGGCGUAAAGGGCUCGUAGGCGGUUUGUCGCGUCGGGAGUGAAAACUCAGGGCUUAACCCUGAGCCUGCUUCCGAUACGGGCAGACUAGAGGUAUGCAGGGGAGAAUGGAAUUCCUGGUGUAGCGGUGAAAUGCGCAGAUAUCAGGAGGAACACCGGUGGCGAAGGCGGUUCUCUGGGCAUUACCUGACGCUGAGGAGCGAAAGUGUGGGGAGCGAACAGG